GGUUUUGGGGCUUUUCAUCUAUGGGAUUUGGCGGAGAAUCAGAUUGACUCGCCAUCUACUGUUCACGCACGGGAAAAAAAAACACAAAUUUAGUACAAAAAAGUACGAAAUAAUUUGAUCCCCAGAUAAAAAAAACAGAAGAAAAGGACAAUAAUUACCGAGGUAGAACAAACAAGACGAUUUAUGCUCAGAAUUCUUGGAAGCGGGAGUGGGCUAUGGUUAUUGUCUUAUUGAAUUUGGUUUUUGCUCAUCCCCAGGCGACAACUGAAACUGGU
rnacentral:lncRNA from 1 species